rnacentral:rRNA from 1 species
GAUGAACGCUGGCGGCGUGCCUAAUACAUGCAAGUCGAACGAAGAUCUAGCUUGCUAGAUCUUAGUGGCGAACGGGUGAGUAAUACAUAAAUAAUCUGCCCAUAUGACUGGGAUAACUAUUGGAAACGAUAGCUAAUACCGGAUAGGUUGAUCGGAGGCAUCUCUGAUGAAUUAAAGUAGGAUUUCUACACAAAUGGAUGAGUUUAUGGCGCAUUAGUUAGUUGGUGGGGUAACGGCCUACCAAGACGAUGAUGCGUAGCCGACCUGAGAGGGGGACCGGCAACACUGGGACUGAGACACGGCCCAGACUCCUACGGGAGGCAGCAGUAGGGAAUUUUCGGCAAUGGGCGCAAGCCUGACCGAGCAACGCCGCGUGAGUGAUUAAGGCCUUCGGGUUGUAAAGCUCUGUUGUAAGGGAAGAACAUUCAGGAUAGGAAAUGAUCUUGAACUGACGGUACCUUACCAGAAAGCCACGGCUAACUACGUGCCAGCCGCCGCAGUAA